AUUAUUAGAGUGAAAAGAAACUCAUUACAACCCAUUGGCAUUAAAAUAAAACAAUUUAAUUUUUUUUGCAAAAUUUCCCAAAAAAAUCGUAAGGGGUACCCCUUAUGAAAUUUUCGAGUGAAAAUUUUUUUUGAAAUUUUUUUCUGAUUUUUUAUUCUUUUUUUAAUUUAAAGCACUAUUUAAGUGAAAAGAAACUUAUUGCAACAAAUUCCCAUCAAAAUAUAUCACAUUUAAAAUUUUUGCUACAUUGCUCAAAAAUGAGGAAAAUUUUACAUUUUCUCAAACAGGGUAAGGAACUUGGUUCCUCGAAUAACUUCUGGCACAGGCAUCUAAGGGCAUGGCUGUCCAAGAAGAAAAUGUAGCCAUUGGUGCCAUCUAUCGACCACAGGUUAAAGUUUGGCGAUCCGUUGGAUACCGACCGAGUUAUAGGCAAAAGUUGGUGCAAAAAUGAGGAAAAUUUUAUAUUUUCUCAAACAGGGUAAGGAACUUGGUUCCUGGAAUAACUUCUGGCACAGACAUCUAAGGGCAUGGCUGUCCAAGAAGAAAAUGUAGCCAUUGGUGCCAUCUAUCGACCACAGGUUAAAGUUUGGCGAUCCGUUGGAUACCGACCGAGUUAUAGGCAAAAGUUGGUGCAAAAAUGAGGAAAAUUUUACAUUUUCUCAAACAGGGUAAGGAACUUGAUUCCUGGAAUAACUUCUGGCACAGACAUCUGAGGGCAUGGCUGUCCAAGAAGAAAAUGUAGCCAUUGGUGCCAUCUAUCGACCACAGGUUAAAGAUUGGCGAUUCGUUGGAUACCGACCGAGUUAUAGGCAAAAUUUGGUGCAAAAAUGGGGAAAAUUGUCAUUUUUUUUCGAAUUUUUUGAUUUUUUUUAUUAUUUUUCACUCUUUUUUCAUUUCAAGCAUUAUUAGAGUGAAAAGAAACUCAUUACAACCCAUUGGCAUUAAAAUAAAACAAUUUAAUUUUUUUUGCAAAAUUUCCCAAAAAAAUCGUAAGGGGUACCCCUUAUGAAAUUUUCGAGUGAAAAAUUUUUUUGAAAUUUUUUUCUGAUUUUUUAUUCUUUUUUUAAUUUAAAGCACUAUUUAAGUGAAAAGAAACUUAUUGCAACAAAUUCCCAUCAAAAUAUAUCACAUUUAAAAUUUUUGCUACAUUGCUCAAAAAUGAGUAAAAUUUUACAUUUUCUCAAACAGGGUAAGGAACUUGGUUCCUCGAAUAACUUCUGGCACAGGCAUCUAAGGGCAUGGCUGUCCAAGAGGAAAAUGUAGCCAUUGGUGCCAUCUAUCGACCACAGGUAAAAGUUUGGCGAUCCGUUGGAUACCGACCGAGUUAUAGGCAAAAGUUGGUGCAAAAAUGAGGAAAAUUUUACAUUUUCUCAAACAGGGUAUGGAACUUGGUUCCUGGAAUAACUUCUGGCACAGACAUCUGAGGGCAUGGCUGUCCAAGAAGAAAAUGUAGCCAUUGGUGCCAUCUAUCGACCACAGGUUAAAGAUUGGCGAUUCGUUGGAUACCGACCGAGUUAUAGGCAAAAUUUGGUGCAAAAAUGAGGAAAAUUGUCAUUUUUUUCGAAUUUUUUGAUUUUUUUUAUUAUUUUUCACUCUUUUUUUCAUUUCAAGCAUUAUUAGAGUGAAAAGAAACUCAUUACAACCCAUUGGCAUUAAAAUAAAACAAUUUAAUUUUUUUUGCAAAAUUUCCCAAAAAAAUCGUAAGGGGUACCCCUUAUGAAAUUUUCGAGUGAAAAAUUUUUUUGAAAUUUUUUUCUGAUUUUUUAUUCUUUUUUUAAUUUAAAGCACUAUUUAAGUGAAAAGAAACUUAUUGCAACAAAUUCCCAUCAAAAUAUAUCACAUUUAAAAUUUUUGCUACAUUGCUCAAAAAUGAGGAAAAUUUUACAUUUUCUCAAACAGGGUAAGGAACUUGGUUCCUGGAAUAACUUCUGGCACAGACAUCUAAGGGCAUGGCUGUCCAAGAAGAAAAUGUAGCCAUUGGUGCUAUCUAUCGACCACAGGUUAAAGUUUGGCGAUCCGUUGGAUACCGACCGAGUUAUAGGCAAAAGUUGGUGCAAAAAUAAGGAAAAUUUUACAUUUUCUCAAACAGGGUAUGGAACUUGGUUCCUGGAAUAACUUCUGGCACAGACAUCUGAGGGCAUGGCUGUCCAAGAAGAAAAUGUAGCCAUUGGUGCCAUCUAUCGACCACAGGUUAAAGAUUGGUGAUUCGUUGGAUACCGACCGAGGUAUAGGCAAAAUUUGGUGCAAAAAUGAGGAAAAUUGUUAUUUUUUUUCGAAUUUUUUGAUUUUUUUAAUUAUUUUUCACUCUUUUUUUCAUUUCAAGCAUUAUUAGAGUGAAAAGAAACUCAUUACAACCCAUUGGCAUUAAAAUAAAACAAUUUAAUUUUUUUUGCAAAAUUUCCCAAAAAAAUCGUAAGGGGUACCCCUUAUGAAAUUUUCGAGUGAAAAAUUUUUUUGAAAUUUUUUUCUGAUUUUUUAUUCUUUUUUUAAUUUAAAGCACUAUGUAAGUGAAAAGAAACUUAUUGCAACAAAUUCCCAUCAAAAUAUAUCACAUUUAAAAUUUUUGCUACAUUGCUCAAAAAUGAGGAAAAUUUUACAUUUUCUCAACAGGGUAAGGAACUUGGUUCCUCGAAUAACUUCUGGCACAGGCAUCUAAGGGCAUGGCUGUCCAAGAAGAAAAUGUAGCCAUUGGUGCCAUCUAUCGACCACAGGUUAAAGAUUGGCGAUUCGUUGGAUACCGACCGAGUUAUAGGCAAAAUUUGGUGCAAAAAUGAGGAAAAUUGUCAUUUUUUUCGAAUUUUUUGAUUUUUUUUAUUAUUUUUCACUCUUUUUUUCAUUUCAAGCAUUAUUAGAGUGAAAAGAAACUCAUUACAACCCAUUGGCAUUAAAAUAAAACAAUUUAAUUUUUUUUGCAAAAUUUCCCAAAAAAAUCGUAAGGGGUACCCCUUAUGAAAUUUUCGAGUGAAAAAUUUUUUUGAAAUUUUUUUCUGAUUUUUUAUUCUUUUUUUAAUUUAAAGCACUAUUUAAGUGAAAAGAAACUUAUUGCAACAAAUUCCCAUCAAAAUAUAUCACAUUUAAAAUUUUUGCUACAUUGCUCAAAAAUGAGUAAAAUUUUACAUUUUCUCAAACAGGGUAAGGAACUUGGUUCCUCGAAUAACUUCUGGCACAGGCAUCUAAGGGCAUGGCUGUCCAAGAAGAAAAUGUAGCCAUUGGUGCCAUCUAUCGACCACAGGUUAAAGAUUGGCGAUUCGUUGGAUACCGACCGAGUUAUAGGCAAAAUUUGGUGCAAAAAUGAGGAAAAUUGACAUUUUUUUUUUGAAUUUUUUGAUUUUUUUAUUAUUUUUCACUCUUUUUUUCAUUUCAAGCAUUAUUAGAGUGAAAAGAAACUCAUUGCAACCCAUUGGCAUUAAAAUAAAACAAUUUUAUUUUUUUUGCAAAAUUUCCCAAAAAAAUCGUAAGGGGUAAGCCUUAUGAAAUUUUCGAGUGAAAAUUUUUUUUGAAUUUUUUUUCUGAUUUUUUAUUCUUUUUUUAAUUUAAAGCACUAUUUAAGUGAAAAGAAACUGAUUGCAACAAAUUCGCAUUAAAAUAAAUCAAUUUUUAA